GUGGGGAAUCUUGCGCAAUGGGCGAAAGCCUGACGCAGCCAUGCCGCGUGAAUGAUGAAGGUCUUAGGAUUGUAAAAUUCUUUCACCGGGGACGAUAAUGACGGUACCCGGAGAAGAAGCCCCGGCUAACUUCGUGCCAGCAGCCGCGGUAAUACGAAGGGGGCUAGCGUUGCUCGGAAUUACUGGGCGUAAAGGGCGCGUAGGCGGACAGUUAAGUUGGGGGUGAAAGCCCGGGGCUCAACCUCGGAACUGCCUUCAAUACUGGCUGUCUUGAGUAUGAGAGAGGUGUGUGGAACUCCGAGUGUAGAGGUGAAAUUCGUAGAUAUUCGGAAGAACACCAGUGGCGAAGGCGACACACUGGCUCAUUACUGACGCUGAGGCGCGAAAGCGUGGGGAGCAAACAGGAUUAGAUACCCCGGUAGUCC
rnacentral:rRNA from 1 species